rnacentral:rRNA from 1 species
UGAGACCGGCGCACGGGUGCGUAACGCGUAUGCAAUCUACCUUUUACUAUGGGAUAGCCCAGAGAAAUUUGGAUUAAUACCAUAUAGUAUAUUUGAAUGGCAUCGUUUGAAUAUUAAAGAUUUAUCGGUAAAAGAUGAGCAUGCGUCCCAUUAGUUAGUUGGUGUGGCAACGGCAUACCAAGACGAUGAUGGGUAGGGGUCCUGAGAGGGAGAUCCCCCACACUGGUACUGAGACACGGACCAGACUCCUACGGGAGGCAGCAGUGAGGAAUAUUGGUCAAUGGAGGCAACUCUGAACCAGCCAUGCCGCGUGCAGGAUGACGGUCCUAUGGAUUGUAAACUGCUUUUUGUACGGGAAGAAAACAAACUACGAGUAGUUAAUUGACGGUACCGUAAGAAUAAGGAUCGGCUAACUCCGUGCCAGCAGCCGCGGUAAUACGGAGGAUCCAAGCGUUAUCCGGAAUCAUUGGGUUUAAAGGGGUCCGUACGCGGCCUUAUAAGUCCAGUGGUGAAAGUUUUUGGCUUAACCAAAAAAUUGCCAUUGAUACUGUAGGGCUUGAAUAUCUGUGAAGUAACUAGAAUAUGUAGUGUAGCGGUGAAAUGCUUAGAUAUUACAUGGAAUACCGAUUGCGAAGGCAGGUUACUAACAGAUGAUUGACGCUGAUGGACGAAAGCGUGGGUAGCGAACAGGAUUAGAUACCCUGGUAGUCCACGCCGUAAACGAUGGAUACUAGCUGUUUGGUUUUCGGACUGAGUGGCUAAGCGAAAGUGAUAAGUAUCCCACCUGGGGAGUACGGUCGCAAGACUGAAACUCAAAGGAAUUGACGGGGGCCCGCACAAGCGGUGGAGCAUGUGGUUUAAUUCGAUGAUACGCGAGGAACCUUACCAGGGCUUAAAUGUAGAUUGACAGAUUUGGAAACAGAUUUUUCUUCGGACAAUUUACAANGUGCUGCAUGGUUGUCGUCAGCUCGUGCCGUGAGGUGUCAGGUUANUCCUAUAACGAGCNCAACCCCUGUUGUUAGUUGCCNGCACGUUAUGGUGGGAACUCUNCCAAGACUGCCCAUGUAACUGUGAGGAAGGUGGGGAUGACGUCAAAUCAUCACGG